ACCGGGAGCUAGGGUGCGGGGGCGGCUGGGGGACCCGAGACGGAGCGCAGCGAGGGGGGCUGGAAGCGGCUGGAGGAGGGCGUCGGCGUGGCCGUGUUUGUGUCCAGAGCACCUGCGUGCAUGGGGGGCAUUUCGGACGGGGGAGACUGGCUUGGGGCGAAGCUGGGGGAUGCGACAGAGUUCCGACCGGCAGAAUCUGAGACGCCCACCGAGGACGUGUGCGCACGAGUGUGAGGAAGACAAAGGACCGCAGACUUGCGGGCCCUGGUUGACCACGGUCACUCGGCUCAGGGCGGGAUGACAACGAGAGUCCGGGGCGGCAGCGCAGAAACCUGGCCUAGCGCUCUAGCAGAAGGACGGGCUUUCAGGCUGGAAGGACUCCCCUGGGCCCGGCUGCGGAAAGGGAGGUGCCCGAGGCCCUGGAGGGACAGCAGUGUCCGGCCGGCCGCCUCGCCUGGGAUUCUUAGCUCCUGACUCACUGUCCUUCUGUCCAAUACCGGUGUUGCAGGAAUUCUUAAUGACUCCAGGAUCCACAUGGGUGAUCCUUCCAGCGCCCCACACCCCGGCCGCCCUCUCUUAAAGCGCACCUGGGAUUUGUUUUCAUCAGAAAACAUAAAGGCCAACUGGCUUUGUUCAGUUAUGCUAACGUGAAAUAAAAGAGAAAGAUGAAUUAAGGAGGUUGCUGUUCCAUGUCCCAGCAGGAGUCAGAGGACAUAUUUCCAAGCCAGGCCUUGCUGAGUUGGAAAAUCAAAACUCUUUCUCAUUUCCAACCUUUCCAGGCAGCAAAAAGUUCUGAAGCUUUGGCCAGUGGGAUGCCAGCAAGAAGGAUUCAAGCAGAGGCCCCAUAAAUGCUCGCACAUGGCUUCCAUGCUGGAAGGAGUCUGGCUAUCCUGCCUGGCCACGUGGGGGACUCUGGGUAAUGAGACGCCACACAAAGACAAGUCACAUGCAAGACAAACAGGCACUCCAGUGAACUCCCAGCCGAGUGCAACCAAAGGAGGGACCCAGAAGACCCCAAUCACAGAAUUGCAAAAAAUAAUAAAUCAAUAUUGUCUUAAGCCAUAA